rnacentral:misc_RNA from 1 species
UAAAUACAUAUCUACAUAAUAAUAUUCUAAGAUUUGUCUAAACAUCUGUCCUAAGUAUCUGUCAAGUAUGAUAUGAAGAUAAUCUGAAUAUAAUAAAAUGUUUAUUUCUUGUAUAAUAAAAUUUGAAAUCGACUUUAAAAUAAAAUUGCGCGAUAGUUUUUUACUAUAGUUAAAAUGAUUAUGACCUUUAUUAGAACUGUGAUAUUUGUUAGUUGUAUAUGUGGAUACUUAGCGUUUAAGUUAUUUAGCGAUACAAAAAACUCAAAUGUACUAGUGGAAACAACAAAAGGAUGGGUGCUGGGAAAGGAAGAAAAAACUGUUAAUCUAGGAAAGACAUAUGUACACUUUGCCGGGAUUCCAUAUGCCAAACCUCCCGUAGGAGAUCUAAGAUUCGCUCCUCCUGUACCAAUCGAUUCAUGGGAAGGGAUUCUGGAUGCAACUAAAGAAGGAACUGUCUGUGUACAGUUCGAUGUUGGUAACGAGGACUGCCUCAACCUUAACAUCUAUGUACCUCAGCGUAGCAAUUCAGAUACAAAACCCUUAUCAGUAAUAUUUUACAUUCACGGAGGAUUUUUCUUGUUUGGAAAUGGCGGAUAUGUAUUCCAAGCACCAGAUUAUUUUAUAGAAGAAGAGAUAAUAUUUAUAACCUGUAACUACAGACUUGGCAUUCUUGGUUUUCUUUCGACCGAAGAUGAUGCAUCUUAUGGGAACUGGGGACUUAAAGAUCAAAUUCUAGCCUUGCAAUGGGUAAAAGAAAACAUCGAGUUCUUCGGUGGUGAUAAGAAUUCCAUUACUAUUAUGGGGCAAAGUGCAGGAUCUUGCAGCGUUAACUAUCUCAUACAAUCACCAAAAGCGAAAGAUUUAUUCCAAAAGGCAAUAAUGCACAGCGGUACCAGCCUGACCAUAUGGUCUUUUGUUGCUGAGCCUCGAAAAAUUGCUUUCAUGAUGGGAAAUUUGCUGGGAAUAGAUGCUACGGAUUCCAAAGAACUGGUACAAAGGUUCAGAGAAAUGGAUGCCUCUAGUUUAAGCUUUAUGUCAACCGUAAUAAACAUAGUGUUGGAAUUCAUAUAUGAUCCAAAGAACGGGCUGAUGUUUGCUCCCACUAUAGAACCAUACCAUGAAGGGGCUGUUUUGACGGAACGAAGCUAUGAAAGCCUAGCUACGGGAAGAUUCAAUAAAGUGCCAGUUUUGAUGGGGUUCGUCUCUCAGGAAGGUGCCGAUAUUUACCAAUCUUUUCACAAAAUAAGGCCCUACCUCUUUAUCUAUGACCUCUUUCAAGAAAAACUGUUACCUAAUGACCUAAACAUACCAGAAUCUGUAAAGAAAACUGCAACAGAUGAAGUUUGGGCGCAGUUAUUCAACGGUUCUCUAGGCUUUAGUACUACAGAGCUUCGACGGUUUUAUUUCAGUUCAUUACUGAAGAUCAGUUCGUGAGACCAAUAGUGGAAACGGCACGACUGAUGGCACAGCACAUCGAUGUUUAUUUCUAUAGGUUUUCUUAUUUGGGAGAGAGUAUGGAGGAAGAUGGACCUGGAAUAGGAAAUUCACAUGGAUAUGACCUAUAUUACCUGUUUUAUUAUGAUUACUAUACACCGAAUCAAAAAGCUACAGAUAUAUUAACAAGAAGAAGAAUGAUACGAAUGUGGAAAAACUUUGCUACAACCUC